UGGCACUCAUUGGUGUGAUGAUG
rnacentral:siRNA from 1 species